rnacentral:rRNA from 1 species
CUUGCACUCUCUGAUGUUAGCGGCGGACGGGUGAGUAACACGUGGGUAACCUACCUAUAAGACUGGGAUAACUUCGGGAAACCGGAGCUAAUACCGGAUAAUAUUUAGCUUCGCAUGAAGCAAUAGUGAAAGACGGUUCUGCUGUCACUUAUAGAUGGACCCGCGGUGUAUUAGCUAGUUGGUGAGGUAACGGCUCACCAAGGCAACGAUACAUAGCCGACCUGAGAGGGUGAUCGGCCACACUGGGACUGAGACACGGCCCAGACUCCUACGGGAGGCAGCAGUAGGGAAUCUUCCGCAAUGGACGAAAGUCUGACGGAGCAACGCCGCGUGAGUGAAGAAGGUUUUCGGAUCGUAAAACUCUGUUGUAAGGGAAGAACAAGUACGUUAGUAACUGAACGUACCUUGACGGUACCUUACCAGAAAGCCACGGCUAACUACGUGCCAGCAGCCGCGGUAAUACGUAGGUGGCAAGCGUUAUCCGGAAUUAUUGGGCGUAAAGCGCGCGUAGGCGGUCUCUUAAGUCUGAUGUGAAAGCCCCCGGCUCAACCGGGGAGGGUCAUUGGAAACUGGGAGACUUGAGUGCAGAAGAGGAGAGUGGAAUUCCAUGUGUAGCGGUGAAAUGCGCAGAGAUAUGGAGGAACACCAGUGGCGAAGGCGGCUCUCUGGUCUGUAACUGACGCUGAGGUGCGAAAGCGUGGGGAUCAAACAGGAUUAGAUACCCUGGUAGU